GAUGAACGCUGGCGGCGUGCUUAACACAUGCAAGUCGAACGGAAAGGCCCAAGCUUGCUUGGGUACUCGAGUGGCGAACGGGUGAGUAACACGUGGGUGAUCUGCCCUGCACUUCGGGAUAAGCCUGGGAAACUGGGUCUAAUACCGGAUAGGACCACUUCUUGGAUGUUGUGGUGGAAAGUUUUUUCGGUGUGGGAUGAGCUCGCGGCCUAUCAGCUUGUUGGUGUGGUAAUGGCCUACCAAGGCGUCGACGGGUAGCCGGCCUGAGAGGGUGUACGGCCACAUUGGGACUGAGAUACGGCCCAGACUCCUACGGGAGGCAGCAGUGGGGAAUAUUGCACAAUGGGCGCAAGCCUGAUGCAGCGACGCCGCGUGGGGGAUGACGGCCUUCGGGUUGUAAACUCCUUUCGCUAGGGACGAAGCGUUUUGUGACGGUACCUGGAGAAGAAGCACCGGCUAACUACGUG
rnacentral:rRNA from 1 species